GAUGAACGCUGGCGGCGUGCCUAAUACAUGCAAGUCGAGCGAACAGACGAGAAGCUUGCUUUUCUGAUGUUAGCGGCGGACGGGUGAGUAACACGUGGAUAACCUACCUAUAAGACUGGGAUAACUUCGGGAAACCGGAGCUAAUACCGGAUAAUAUUUUGAACCGCAUGGUUCAAAAGUGAAAGACGGUCUUGCUGUCACUUAUAGAUGGAUCCGCGCUGCAUUAGCUAGUUGGUAAGGUAACGGCUUACCAAGGCAACGAUGCGUAGCCGACCUGAGAGGGUGAUCGGCCACACUGGAACUGAGACACGGUCCAGACUCCUACGGGAGGCAGCAGUAGGGAAUCUUCCGCAAUGGGCGAAAGCCUGACGGAGCAACGCCGCGUGAGUGAUGAAGGUCUUCGGAUCGUAAAACUCUGUUAUUAGGGAAGAACAUAUGUGUAAGUAACUGUGCACAUCUUGACGGUACCUAAUCAGAAAGCCACGGCUAACUACGUG
rnacentral:rRNA from 1 species